rnacentral:lncRNA from 1 species
GCCAGUGGGAAGGCAGGCCGCGCGCGCGGGAGCGCGGGAGGAUCGGCGGCUCGCGGUCACUGGUCCCUGGCUCGGUUCCCCGCACCCCGGGGCUCACACUUACCCGCGCGGAGGAGCAGCGGCCGGGUGUCCACCCCCAUCCUGCGCCCAGUCUCCUCGAUUCCCCUCGCUCUGAGCCGGGAGAGCCGAACAGCUGAAGAGAGUUCACUGACUCCCCAGCCCCAGACUGAGCUGCUCCUUGUGGGAACUGCUGAUGUUUUGACAAAAGAAAGAGGGAAGGUGGAACUACACAGUGGCUUUUAAGUUUCUGCUUGGAAGUGGGCCUUGUGCACAUCAUGACCAGUUUUGAAGAUGCUGACACAGAAGAGACAGUAACUUGUCUCCAGAUGACGGUUUACCAUCCUGGCCAGUUGCAGUGUGGAAUAUUUCAGUCAAUAAGUUUUAACAGAGAGAAACUCCCUUCCAGCGAAGUGGUGAAAUUUGGCCGAAAUUCCAACAUCUGUCAUUAUACUUUUCAGGACAAACAGGUUUCCCGAGUUCAGUUUUCUCUGCAGCUGUUUAAAAAAUUCAACAGCUCAGUU